GGAGAGGUGGGUGAGUGGCCGAAACCACACCCUUGCUAAGGGUGCGACGGAGUUAAAUCCGUCCGAGAGUUCGAAUCUCUCCCUCUCCGCCA
rnacentral:tRNA from 1 species